AUAAAAAAAACCUCGUAAGAAAACCCUACGAGGUGCCCAUACACAUACAUUCCGUAUGUAAUCAGGCUAUGGGAGAGGAGAAACCGGAGGAAGAACUUAUGGGGAAACGUAAGUCUUCUCCGCGG
rfam:Bacillus sp. TS-2 DNA, contig: BspTS2nb04.